UUAAACUAGGGAUUAGAUACCCUAUUAUUAAAAUUUAAAUGUAAAAUACUAAAAUAGUAAAUAAUUAUUUAUUGAAACUUAAAUAAUUUGGCGGUAUUUUAGUUCAUUUAGAGGAAUCUGUUUAAUAAUUGAUAAUCCACGAAUAAAUUUACUUAAUUUUUUUAUUUUGUAUAUCGUUGUUAAAAAAAUAUUUUUUAAUAAUAAAUAAUAUUUAAAAAUUUAAAUUGAAAAUUAAAUCAGAUCAAGAUGCAGAUUAUAAUUAAGAAUAUAAUGGAUUACAAUAAAUUUAUUUAAAUGAAUAUUAAUUUGUAAAAUUUAAUUGAAGGUGGAUUUAAAUGUAA
rnacentral:rRNA from 1 species